rnacentral:rRNA from 1 species
GCUGGGGGCUGCUUUAGACUGCUCCUUCCUGAUCUUGCCUGAUUNCAGAAGUUAAAACAAGGCCAAAUCUGGUUAGUCCCUGGAUGGGAGACCCGUAGGAAUCCCAGUUGCUGCAAACU